UACGUAGGGGGCUAGCGUUGUCCGGAAUCAUUGGGCGUAAAGAGCUUGUAGGCGGUUUGUCGCGUCUGCUGUGAAAUUUCGGGGCUCAACCCCGAACUUGCAGUGGGUACGGGCAGACUAGAGUGUGGUAGGGGAGACUGGAAUUCCUGGUGUAGCGGUGAAAUGCGCAGAUAUCAGGAGGAACACCGGUGGCGAAGGCGGGUCUCUGGGCAGUAACUGACGCUGAGGAGCGAAAGCGUGGGUAGCAAACAGG
rnacentral:rRNA from 1 species